GGCCCUGUAGCUCAGGGGAUAGAGCAGUGGUUUCCUAAACCAUUGGCCGCAGGUUCGAUUCCUGCCAGGGCCGCCA
rnacentral:tRNA from 2 species